UGCACACUGCAUUAGCUGCCUUCUAACUGCUUGCCUUUUCCUGAUAAUUUCUCUGCUUCCAGUCCUCACUGCACUCUCAGCGAUUGAACAAGGAAACCUGCUGCUGAAUUUUUCUGGGCUUGGGAAAAGUUUAAUGGUACAAAGCACUGUGAGCUGCCAGGCGAGAAGCCAAGGUUCCAUUUUGAUUAUUGGAGGGAUUGCUAGGAAAGAAGGCAAGAGGGGGAGAGCCUGUUGCAUAGACUAAGCCUGGGACAAAUGAACAUUUUCUCUGGAAAUUUAAGAAAGCCUGGCUUUGGAAUUGCUUUAGGCAUCUCUCUCUGACCAGCUUUCUCUCUGUGGUUUCUCAGGGAUCUGCAGGGGAUGAUAAGAAUCCUUUUCCAGUGACUUCUCUGCCACAUAAAGACAAGACAAGAAGACCUGAAGUUAGAACAAGUUUUCUGCUGAAAGCCAAGUGACGUGACCAAGAGCUGGCCUGACCUCAUACACAGAAUGAGACAGAAUUUACAACUGGAACCAAGUGCCUUAACUGGGUCUCCAGGAUGUAAAUAGUUCCAAGUUCUCUGUUCUUUUGAAGCCUUAGAAAACUUUUGUUUUAUUUGUUUUCUUAUUGUUCAAUGCAAAGCACCUGCAUAUUAUUUUUUGUUUUAAAUACAGUUGUAGUUUUUUUGGUUA